UCUCUGCUGCCUACUGACAGAGCUGCAUAGCAGAUUUCCCAAAGGAGUAACAAACAAAAACAAGUGUGGAUGAGGUGAUAGAAGAACAAAUUGGACUUACUGCAAGAUAUAUUUUGUCAAUAUGAAGGACACAGGAGGUCAACUCAGUUUAGAUGUAACAGAAUGCAUAUUGGAUACACUAUUAUGUUAAGGUCUUCCCAGAUCCGGACGUGUGGAAUAAUUGUCCUGGCUGAGGAACCCGGGAACCAGGGUGACUCCGGAACCUCCUUCUCCUUCCACUACCUAAAUAAUGGAUAUUCCAGAACGGUGGACAUUUGUGAUGAUUCCAGGACAUUGGACAUGAACUAUUACGAUACCAUAUUGUUCUACGUUCUUUAAUACCACAAAUUGGAGGAUAUUGUUGAUUUCCGGAAACAGCACUUUGAGCUCACUGCUGUUCUUAUUUGACCAAAGACAUUACGGAUCCCUAUACGUGUAUUGCCAAAUAUAUAAAGGAGGUCCAUGAUAUAAAAAAAGAACUUUAACCAAGGCAUUAUGAUAUGGACUGGAAAAGAUAAAUGUUUAAAUCCUAGUAUUCAAUUUUCAGGAUUAGGAAAAUGUUUUUUAAGUAUAUUGUAUGUGAUUGUAUGUGAUGAUGUAUUCUGUGAUGAGGUUUAUUCUUUGGCGACCCCGAUGUGAUUAUAGCCAUUCAUCUGAUGUUCACCGCCUACAGGUGCGGCCUAUGUUGUAUUUAGAAGGCUACUGUCAAACGCAGAAUAGCAAUACUACAUGAAAUGAUUAUUAGCGAACUAUACGUUCCCAGAAAUUCUCCUGAGAUGACAGGGCACAUGGAUAAUGUCCCUGAUCAAAGGGUGGAGCUGUCGAAUACUGUGACAGAGGCAACCUGCUGAAGGCCUAACAGUUAUAUAUAUGUACUACGGGAUAGUACGUAUAUUAUGUAUACACCCAAUAAUCACAGUAGAUCAGGGUUCUCAUAUUCACUAGUAUAGCAUAACAGAAUCCAUUUUGGUUCUAGCUAGAUGUUUCUAGCAGAUUCAUUUGUAUUUCAUUUGAACUUUAUACACACACUGAGAGACGAGAAAAACAACUUUGUUGGCUAAGUAUUGAUUCCACCUACGCACAUCCUAAAAGCUCAUAGAGUCCAGAUGUAAUUCCUAAUAUGGACACAGUUGAAGACCACGAGUAUCUUUGAGUAUUCUUGACAAUGGUCCUAAUAUUGCAUAACACUAUUGCCUAACACUGUAUUCCAGAUGUAUGAAAUCAUAUGGGAGGGAUAUAAGAAAGGGGCGUAACUGUGUAUUAUAUAAAACUCAUUGUUGUUACGUG